UGGGCGUGAGUGAGGAGGGGGGCAGAUGGGAGGGGCAGUGACCCUGGGCCCAGCAGAUAUCCAGGGAAGUGGCCUGGGAGGUAGGUCCCCAACUCUUCCUUUCCCGUGUCUUCACUGCCGUUUUCCAGGGAUGCCUGUUCCUGCUGGGGUAGCCAGCUGUGAUCAGGUCAGGGUGGAAAGUGACCCCUGGGAGACCUGAGGCCUGAGGCCCUGGGCUUCCGCUUGACCUGGCUGGGUCGGCCGUGGGAGGCAGAGCCUGGCUCUGUUUAUCCAGGCCGGACACUUCCGGAGCAGAUGGGCGCCUGUCAGAGCCGCCAGCCAGGAACUGGGCUGACGUCCUCUCAUUGCCAAGUGGCAGUUCUGGGGCCAGCAUUGAACUCAAGGUGUCAGCAAGGCUCCCGCCGGAGGUCCUGGUGGAGGGUCUGCUCCAGGCCGCGCUCCUGGCUUCUGGUGGUUGCCAGCAACCCUCCACCGCCCUCCAGAUAUUGUUGAAAAGAGGCCCAGAGAGAGCCUGAUGCUGGAUCUCCAGGCGUUUAAAGCAGAGGUUCUAAGACGUGUUAUUAAAGGGAGGGAGGAGGGAGUUGCCCAACAUAACCUCUUCCCAUUAUCCUCUUUAUGUAAAGGCACCCAGACUCUGUCCUUCUGUGUGUACAAAUAAAUGUCACUAAAGAUCCCGAAGGGUAAACAUUAGGUAUCAGUGGCUGCUUCUGGACAGGAUCUAGCGUUGAGGGCAUCAAGGAAGGACUUUUCCUUGUUGCUACCUCUGUGUUAGUGUGGCUUGAAUGUUUCCAAUGAAAGUGGAUUCAAAUGAUAAUUGUGUGUUAAAUUAAAAUCUUUUCAAAGAAAGGCUCUUGAUGUUCUGGGAGUUUCAGAUCCCUUCAAGAAGUUCCUGAAAACCACGGUCUAUCUCUCCCCAGUGCACCUGCUCACCACAAGAAUCCCCAGCCUGAGGGAGGGGCAGACCCCUGGCCCGGAAGCAGACCAGCUCCUUCUUCCGGAGAAGCCCAGCUGCUGCCACCAGCCAGGCUGCUGGGAUGCUCCUUUUCCCCUCUCCCCACUCCACAUCCGGGCACCCAGAAAAUUCUAGCUGAAUUGUUCUCCCGACCAGUGGUUCCCAGACGGAUG